rnacentral:rRNA from 1 species
CCUACGGGAGGCAGCAGUGAGGAAUUUUGCGCAAUGGACGAAAGUCUGACGCAGCAACGCCGCGUGAUCGAAGAAGCUUUGCGGAGUGUAAAGAUCUGUCAUAAGGGAAGAAUAAUAUGUAUACUAACACUACACAUAUCUGACGGUACCUUAUAAGAAAGCCCCGGCUAACUUCGUGCCAGCAGCCGCGGUAAUACGAGGGGGGCAAGCGUUGUCCGGAUUUAUUGGGCGUAAAGGGCUCGUAGGUGGGCUAGUAAGUCAAAAUUGAAAUCCAAUGGCUUAACCAUUGUCACGGUUUUGAUACUGCUAGUCUUGAGUGAAAUAGAGGUAAGUGGAAUUCCUGGUGUAGCGGUGAAAUGCGUAGAUAUCAGGAGGAACGCCGAAGGAGAAGUCAGCUUACUGGAUUUAUACUGACACUGAGGAGCGAAAGCGUGGGUAGCAAACAGGAUUAGAGACCCUGGUAGUCCACGCUGUAAACGAUGAGUACUAGAUGGUGGGUGAUUCGACCCUCUCACUGUUACAGUUAACGCAUUAAGUACUCCGCCUGGGAAGUACGUUCGCAAGAAUGAAACUCAAAGGAAUUGACGG